rnacentral:lncRNA from 1 species
UGACAAUUGCUCAGUCUAUUUGAUCGAAUUGAUAGAUACGAAACCCUCCUCAUUCUUUGGAUUUUAUCAAUCAGAUGAAAAAAAAGACUUAUCUUUUUUCCUAAGAUGAUCAAAAGUUAUUUUUAACUAUCAAAUUUUCUUGGAAUAAUGAUGUCGAGAGGGGAACUUUCGAAAUUGAUUCAAAAUUUCGAAAGAGAAAUAGUUUAAAUCAUUCCUUAGAAGCUGAAUCUUUCUCUCCUAUUAAGUCACGUGAAGAUGC